rnacentral:sRNA from 1 species
AUUAAUUAAUGGGAAAAAAAGCUACAAGAUAGUUAUUUUCUCUCCUUAUUGGCCUGUCUCUCCAUUCUCUGUCAGAAGAUGUGAUUGAUAUCCAAUGUUUCCUAAUCAUGUUUACCUUGAAAUGGUAAAUAACUACAAGCAACUACUAGGUGUCUUGCAUUGAGAGCUUUCUGAACACAAGAAAGCUCUAGGUCAUGAAGGUCAAGGCCUGAGGGAAGAACUUACCGAUGUAUUGUUAGAUGAACAUGAUGUCCAACUGCCUUGGACAUAUGUUAGUGUCUAUAGAUUAGCAUGGUUCUUAGCCUUUUUGGACAAGCUUGUGUUUGAGGUGGGCAAUGGUUAAUGCAACGACUCACAGCCUCUGUCAGUGCUGAGAACAGGUGACCCCAGUCUUCAAUGGAACAUCUAUCUGCAUCUUGAACCCCAACCCAAAGCUUACAGAACGUCACAGAAGAGAAAGGGGGGCGGGUGGAGAAUGUAAGAAUGGUGAAGGGUAAAAAUGCCGUGAAAAUGUCUUUUGGACAAGUCAGGUCUGCUGCACCUAGAAAUCCACAGCAACAGCAGCUGUCUGGAAAGACAGGGCCUAUCAGCAUUGCACUAUGGGAUAAGGCCCAUCCCUACAUCAACUCCAGGCAGGGGCACCAUUCUCAGGGGUGUAGUCACUGGGGAUCCACUCAUGUUCAUGGUCCAAUUCCACCUUCACCCACAUAGCAGCCUUAAUUAAAUGCAGUGGUCCACAAAGAACAGAGGAGAACAGAACGGAACGGAACGGAACGGAACAGAACUGAUGCAAAGAGCCAUGAGACCUGCAGGAACAAAGAAGGCAAGGCCAUGUCAAGGACCCCAGUGUCUCAGACUUGUGGGAUUGGCACAAAUUUCCAUGCACAUCAAGAAGCAAGGAGCUGAGCUGACAACCAAAGGAAAGGAUACAAGUCACUGCCCAUGGAAGGGUUUUGACAUUUGCUGGAGAUGAAUUUGAACUCAUCUGUUGAUCAAGAUGUAGAACUCGCAGCUUCUCCAGUGACAUGCC